rnacentral:sRNA from 1 species
CGCGACGAGUAUCAUGUUGUAGGGCUG